AACGAACGCUGGCGGUAUGCUUAACACAUGCAAGUCGCACGAGAAAGUCUUCGGAUGAGUAGAGUGGCGCACGGGUGAGUAACGCGUAGGCGACCUUCCGACUAGUUGGGAUAACUCGGAGAAAUCCGGGCUAAUACCGAAUACGAACAAAGAAGUUGAAAAUAUUUGUUGAAAGAAUGCCUCUACUUGUAAGCAUUCGCUAAUCGAUGGGCCUGCGUGGCAUUAGCUUGUUGGUGGGGUAACGGCCUACCAAGGCGACGAUGCCUAGCGGAUCUGAGAGGAUGAUCCGCCACACUGGAACUGAGACACGGUCCAGACUCCUACGGGAGGCAGCAGUGGGGAAUAUUGCGCAAUGGGCGAAAGCCUGACGCAGCAAUACCGCGUGAGUGAGGAAGGUCUUCGGAUUGUAAAGCUCUGUCAGGGUGGAAAAACGGCGAGUGGUCUAAUAGGCCAUUUGAUUGAUGGUGCACCCAAAGGAAACACCGGCUAACUUCGAGCCAGCAGCCGCCGUAA
rnacentral:rRNA from 1 species